GACGAACGCUGGCGGCGUGCUUAACACAUGCAAGUCGAACGGAAAGGCCCUGCUUUUGUGGGGUGCUCGAGUGGCGAACGGGUGAGUAACACGUGAGUAACCUGCCCUUGACUUUGGGAUAACUUCAGGAAACUGGGGCUAAUACCGGAUAGGAGCUCCUGCUGCAUGGUGGGGGUUGGAAAGUUUCGGCGGUUGGGGAUGGACUCGCGGCUUAUCAGCUUGUUGGUGGGGUAGUGGCUUACCAAGGCUUUGACGGGUAGCCGGCCUGAGAGGGUGACCGGCAAAAGGGGGAAGGAGGUAGGGGCAAGAGGAGGAGGGGAGGGAGCAGGGGGGAAGAGGGCAGAAGGGGAGGAAGCGUGAGGAAGAAAAGGAGGGGGCGGGAGGAAGGCAGUCGGGUGGGAAAAAGGAGGCGAAUGUGAAGAAGGGGGAGUGACGGUAAUGGGUAAAGAAGCAACGGCUAACUAAGUG
rnacentral:rRNA from 1 species